rnacentral:rRNA from 1 species
UAGUGGCGGACGGGUGAGUAACGCGUGAGUAACCUGCCUUACACAAGGGGAUAGCCGUGGAAACGACGAAUAAUACCCUAUGACAUAAAACUCUUCGCAUGAGGAGCUUAUCAAAGAUUUAUCGGUGUAAGAUGGACUCGCGUCUGAUUAGCUAGUUGGUGAGGUAACGGCCCCACCCAAGGCAACGAUCAGUAGCCGGCUUGAGAGAGUGUACGGCCACAUUGGGACUGAGACACGGCCCAGACUCCUACGGGAGGCAGCAGUGGGGAAUUUUGCACAAUGGGGGAAACCCUGAUGCAGCGACGCCGCGUGAUUUAGAAGGCCUUCGGGUUGUAAAAAUCUUUUGUAUGGGGAAGAAAAUGACAGUACCAUACGAAUAAGGACCGGCUAAUUACGUGCCAGCAGCCGCGGUAAU